GUUGAUGAUCCCUGUGGUACAGGGUCAGAGGUGAAUCUAGUUGAUGAUCCCUGUGGUACAGGGUCAGAGGUGAAUCUAGUUGAUGAUCCCUGUGGUACAGGGUCAGAGGUGAAUCUAGUUGAUGUUCCCUGUGGUACAGGGUCAGCGGUGAAUCUAGUUGAUGUUCCCUGUGGUACAGGGUCAGAGGUGAAUCUAGUUGAUGAUCCCCGUGGUACAGGGUCAGAGGUGAAUCUAGUUGAUGAUCCCUGUGGUACAGGGUCAGCGGUGAAUCUAGUUGAUGUUCCCUGUGGUACAGGGUCAGAGGUGAAUCUAGUUGAUGAUCCCCGUGGUACAGGGUCAGAGGUGAAUCUAGUUGAUGAUCCCUGUGGUACAGGGUCAGCGGUGAAUCUAGUUGAUGUUCCCUGUGGUACAGGGUCAGAGGUGAAUCUAGUUGAUGAUCCCCGUGGUACAGGGUCAGAGGUGAAUCAGGGUCAGAGGUGAAUCUAGUUGAUGAUCCCCGUGGUACAGGGUCAGAGGUGAAUCAGGGUCAGAGGUGAAUCUAGUUGAUGAUCCCUGUGGUACAGGGUCAGAAGUGUGUUCCUCCCUACCAUCUCUGCCACUGAGGGCAUGUAGGGUAAUCUGAUCCUAGAUCUGUGGUUAGGGGUGACUUGGACCUCCAACCAGUGUUUCAUCAUCUGAUGUC